CUUUUUAGAGAAUUUUUAUCAUUUCAGUGAGGUAAAUAAAAGUGUGAUUCACUUCUGUAAAAAUGCAAGGCUCACUAAUUUAAAAAAAAAAAAAAGCUAGAUAAUAUGAAUGGAGAGGACUCACCAAUAGGUGAGUGAAACAUUAGAAAUGUACAUAGGUAGAUAGAUGAGGCCAACUGAAUGUGCUGCGUUCAAUAUAUAGAUAUUUUCAGGGUUUCAUGGGCAAAGAAAUGUAUCACAUCUGCUUUCACCAGUUCAUUCAUCUCACAAGCAGUCCAAGUAUUCCCACUGAUGCCUGUUUCAUAGCUGGGUAAAUGUUUAAGCAGUACAUUUGUUUUGAGCUCCCUGAAACUAGGGAAACUAGGCUACACUCCUAUUUUUAAUAUGUCUAUAUUACUAUAAACCCAGUGUCUGCAUGUGACUCAGCCCUGGAAGAACGACAGAUAGCAAGAACAAUAUUAGUGACAUAAAAUAUAGGAACAGAAUACAUGGAACUAUGUAUGUAGGCUAAAAAUUUGCAUGCAGUUCUAGGCAGAAAAGUUUCUGUGGCAUCUUACAGAAACAGACAUUUAAGUUUUUUUCCUACAAUUUCCAGCCCUCUUGUAAUUCCAGGAGUAAUUACAACCAUUGGAAUGUUGGUAUAAAUGAAAGUAGAGAUCUAGAAGAUUGGUCCGCGUCAGACUUUUGUUUUAUUCAGAGGUUUGGCUUCCUGCCCUCAGUUCAGGCAAUAAAUUGGCUGUAACAGAGCUCCUUCUAGCAUUCUGUUCAGUAGAAGUAUCCCAACAGAGACAAAAAUACACAAAAUAAGGACUCAAGAAGGAAGUCAACUGAGAUCAUCAUCAUCAACAUUUCUUCAGUGCCUAUGCAAUGCUGCUCCGCUCAGGCCGUAUAAAGCCGUAUCAAAUGCCUCGCCAGAGAAGGCAGCCUGUGAAGAAGAAAUUUCUGCUUAAACGUAUGAGAACAGCUCCUGGAAAGCCAGUGUUUAGUCUGCGAAAAACAGUGAAAUGUUAUAUCCUAACUGAAGAUUCAAAAACCGUGCAUUUUGAUAUAGAUGAAGAUGGUCAUCAUGAAAUAUGUACCAAGGAUUCACAAUCCCAUGAAGAUAUUGCGUGGUUAAGUGUGUUCACAAGAAGCGAAGCAGCAGUUACUGAUUCUAAAAAUUUGGUGAUCCUCACACAGAGAUCAAAGCUAAAUGAAUUUGUCCUGUUGUGCAAGGGUAAGAAGCAUCUCUCUCUGAAGGUCUUAAAAGCAUCCUGUUCAGAGCCAGAUUGUCCUUCAGUGGCGAGAUGCAAUAUGAAAACAUGCAACCAUGAAGAUCCUGACUUUAAACAGAAAUUAACGUUGACUGCCAUGAUGUACAGAAGGCUGAUAGUUUUAUAGCACACUUGACACAUAGCUGCUCAGAAUAUCACAGCAAACCAAAAUCACAGUCACUUAUACCAAGUCAGUUAAGCAGUUGAAAGAACUGACUUACAUUACCUUUAGGAAGUGAUACCUUACUAUUUGUAUAAAAUACCUUAAACAAAUAUCUUAAAGAAAAUUCCAACCUAUUUAUUGCAAACUGACAAAUGGUUAUCCAGAACUAGCUAUUUUGAGCUGCUGGUAUUACUUGCAAAACAGAAUUUAAGACUUCCCUUAGUGUUUCUGUCCUUAUAGAUCAGGACAGACACAAGUAGUCCAUACUGACUUUAAAUAGCCCCCUAUUCAUCAUGUUGUCAGUUUCGGAUGUACUUCUUGGGUAUCUAAUUUUAGCACAUGAUGUGCAAUUAGCUUAAAUGUUUCACUCAUAGGUCUACACUUGAUACCACAAGUGCUAGGUAUUGAAUUGCUGUUGGAUUACUCCCACUUACCCUACCUGUCUAUUAAAAGUCUUUGUUUAACGAGAAAAUUUUGUGUUUUCCAGUAAACUGUUGGCACAAGAAAGCCCUCUUUCUCAGAGGGCUAUUCUCUAUCCUGUCCCUACGAUAACCUGGGACAAGAAUGUUCUGAAUUUCCUGUGUAAAGAGGAGCAAAUGUGAACCAUUUAGAAAUGUCUUGCUCAUUGCUGUUGUGGGUUGCACACAGUUCAUGAAUCACUUCUAUGACAGAUAUUCCGGAAUAGAAAUAUUUCUAAAAAGAUAAAUCCUGCUUCCACCAAAAAGUACUUGAUGAAAUUUUAGUAUAACUUUCAAGGGGUAAAAUUAUAAUCUCCUUUACAACUUUAUAAAAUAUAAAUGUUUAGAUAAGCAGUAUUUGUUGCUACAGCCAAGAAAGACACAGAUACACAAAGAAUAGUAAGCACUUUCUGAAAGCAUGUCAGCCAGAAGUGGAAGAGAAAGAGCAAGUAAAGGGAGUGUAACACCCACCCACAAUGAGCAAAUUAGUAGAAACAGAUGAGUAG
ensembl:lncRNA